CGCCAUUUUGUGGCGGGUAUAACUGAGAGAGGCAGCGCUGGCUUAGUCCUAUUGCAGGGCUGAGCGCUCGACAGUGGCUGCUGUUUCUCUGCAUCGUGUGUGAGUGGGCCCAGGUUUCGUUUUGUGUCGGCGUUGCUUUCCCACUUAAGUCGCGAUUCCAUGAGCUACGGUCGGCCUCCGCCUGACGUGGAGGGAAUGACCUCUCUCAAGGUUGAUAACCUAACGUACCGAACCUCCCCGGAGACCCUGCGCCGGGUGUUCGAGAAGUAUGGCAGGGUGGGCGACGUGUACAUCCCCCGGGACCGCUACACCAAGGAGAGCCGGGGCUUCGCCUUCGUUCGCUUCCACGACAAGCGCGAUGCCGAAGACGCGAUGGACGCCAUGGAUGGGGCCGUGCUGGACGGGCGGGAGCUGAGGGUGCAGAUGGCCCGGUACGGCCGGCCUCCCGAUUCCCACCACGGAAGGAGAGGGCCCCCUCCUCGCAGAUACGGCGACUACGGCCGGCGGAGCAGAAGCCCCAGGAGGCGACGUCGCAGCCGUUCCAGAAGCAAGAGCAGGUCAAGGUCCCGCAGCAGGUCUCGCUACAGCCGCUCAAAGUCCCGCUCUCGCACAAGGUCCCGCACCCGGUCCAGCUCAAAGUCUCGCUCGGCAAGGAGAUCCAAGUCUAAGUCAUCGUCCGCGUCCAGGUCUCGCUCCCGCUCCAGAUCUAGGUCCAGAACAAGAAAUUCGCCGCCGCCUCCACAGAACUCCAACUCCAAAUCCAGAUCCCGCUCCCAGAGCCCUCCUAAGUCGCCAGAGGAAGAGGGCGCCGUGUCUUCCUGAAGCUGCGGGCUCCAGUUGCUUAAGGAGUAUUGGGCUGUAUUGCAGAUAUUAAGUGGUUUUUCCUGAUCCUCCAGGGACCAGUUUCUGUGGGCGUUUAUUGGAGCAGAGUCAACAGCCGGAAUUCUACAAGCUGGACAACAUCCCUGGGGUGAUAAUUCAUUCAUUAGCUCAUCAGCCCAUGGAGAAACACAGAGCAAAGCAAUGGCCUGCCGAAAAGGUGGUUAUUUGUAUGAUUUCUUAAAACUUUUUACCUGUUUUCAGUUGCGCUUCGUGUCGCAAGACUUUAUACAUUUUAUGUGCAAUUUUGUUCCCUGUUAUUCCGAUUUCUUGUAAUUUAGUGAAAUGACCGACUACAGAUUUCAAUAUUGGCUUGGAUGUUUGAGGUAACUUGCUUUUGUCAAAGUAUCAUUGAAAUUCUGUGGGGGAAUGAAGGUUAUCUCACAGCUAGUAUGCUCCACAGCCCUACUUAUAGUGCAUGGGCGCUGUGCCUCGUCAGAUUGACCGGCCAGGGUUCCACCCAGUCAUAUGUUCUUGUAAUACGUGAGCCUUGAAGUGUGGGGGUAAAAAAUGUUCAUGUGACAAUGUUGCAAGGGAGUGUUUUUGUUUGAUUACAACUCUAAUUUCUUCUCUUGUGUAUUUUUGUGCACUAGGCGCAGUUGUGUAGCAGUUGUAUUGCUGGUUAGCUGUUUAAGGUGGCGUGUUGCAGUGCAGAGUGCUUGGCUGUUUCCUGUUAUCUCCUGAUUGCUCCUGUGCUGCCUUGUCGUGCAGAAAACACAAUGGCUGUCCAGUUUAUUAGGAUGCCUGACGACAACUGCACAUCCAGUCGCCCGGGCCUUGCAUAUAAUAACGGAGCAUACAGUGAGCACAUCUAGCUGAUGAGAAACACCUUUAUGUUUUAAACCUGGUAAAUCCUGAGCAUCAUUGUGUGAUAAUAUCCCAUGCUGGUGUCAUUCCUUUGUAUGUACUGAUCUGCAUAUCUCUGGCUCUCAUUCUCUACUAUAACCACUGUUUCUGUAGUAAAUAAACUUUUUUUUUUCUUUA